GACGAACGCUGGCGGCGUGCCUAAUACAUGCAAGUAGAACGCACAGUUUAUACCGUUGCUUGCUACACCAUAGACUGUGAGUUGCGUACGGGUGAGUAACGCGUAGGUAACCUGUCUGGUAGCGGGGGAUAACUAUUGGAAACGAUAGCUAAUACCGCAUAAUAUUAAUUAUUGCAUGAUAAUUAAUUGAAAGGUGCAAUUGCACCACUACUAGAUGGACCUGCGGUGUAUUAGCUAGUAGGCGAGGUAACGGCGCACCUAGGCGGGGAGACAUAGCCGACCUGAGUGGGUGAUCGGCCGGCCUGAGAGUGAGACACGGCCCAGACUCCUACAGGAGGCAGCAGUACGGCAACUGGAGCAAUGAGCGGAAGUUUGACCAAAAAACGCCGCAGGCGUAAACAACGUUUUCGGAUCGUAAAGCUCGGUUGUAAGAGAAGAACGGGUGUGAGCGUGGGAAGAACACUGUGUGACGGUAUCUUACAAGGAAGGAACGGCUAACUACGUG
rnacentral:rRNA from 1 species